AUGCCCCCUCUUUGUCAUAGGAUGAGGCUCUAUAUCACUUGUAUCUUCUUAUUGUUGCUUCGUAUAUAUAACUUUGACCAAAAAAAUAUUGUACUUAUUCACUUUUUUUUAAUUAUUUGCAUGAAUUCUAUAAUGUUGUUGGCUUUUGUUUACAUCUCGAAGACUAAACUGAGCUUGCUUGCCUUCAUUUUGACUCUAGGAAUAUGCAUCUUGGAGCUUCAUUGGCUUCGUCAUUGUCUGUCGUACGCUACACCUAUGCCGCUUCCUCCACCAGGUUGUUUGCCUGUGGACCAUCUUCGUAGUGAUGGGUACUACAUAUUUUGGCUCUCGGCGAUGACGCAGAGAAGAGGGCUUUAG
rnacentral:rRNA from 1 species